rnacentral:lncRNA from 1 species
UGUGUUCUUGUCAGCAGUUGGGAGGAAAGGGCUCAAAACUUCCCAAGGCUGAGGCAAGAACCAGCUAAGAGGACCAGAGGGAACAGUGCCCAGCCUCACAAAGAGCCAGGAGUAGUUUCUGAUCUAACAAGGCAGACUAAAGAACUUCGUCAUUCACAGGAAACCAUCUGCUUAUACUCUGAAUAAAAUUCAAGAAAGCAUAGAUUCUACAUAAACAGGCCCAAGAUUACAUGGCAAACUGAGAUGAAGAGGAUGCUGGCUGAGAAACAAACAAAAGUGUUCAAUUAUUUGAAUGAAGUAAGGAAAGAUAUUUUAAAAUGUAAAUCAACAUUAAAAUCUGAAAAUGGCACAGUUGAUAUUGCAGAAAAUAGAAUUGAUGUGAAAGG